rnacentral:rRNA from 1 species
AAGCGCUUGUGACCAGACUUGGGCUUGGUUGAUCAUCCAGGGUUCUCCCCGGUGCACUCUUCCAGUCCAGGCCAGCAUCAGUUCGCCGCGGGGGACAAAAGCUUCGGGAAUGUGGCUCCCUCGGGAGUGUUAUAGCCCUCGGUGCAAUGCCGCCUACCUGGACCGAGGACCGCGCUUCGGCUAGGAUGCUGGCGUAAUGGU